GACGAACGCUGGCGGCGUGCCUAAUACAUGCAAGUAGAACGCUGAAGAGAGGAGCUUGCUCUUCUUGGAUGAGUUGCGAACGGGUGAGUAACGCGUAGGUAACCUGCCUGGUAGCGGGGGAUAACUAUUGGAAACGAUAGCUAAUACCGCAUAAAAUUGAUUAUUGCAUGAUAAUUAAUUGAAAGAUGCAAUUGCAUCACUACCAGAUGGACCUGCGUUGUAUUAGCUAGUUGGUGAGGUAACGGCUCACCAAGGCGACGAUACAUAGCCGACCUGAGAGGGUGAUCGGCCACACUGGGACUGAGACACGGCCCAGACUCCUACGGGAGGCAGCAGUAGGGAAUCUUCGGCAAUGGGGGGAACCCUGACCGAGCAACGCCGCGUGAGUGAAGAAGGUUUUCGGAUCGUAAAGCUCUGUUGUAAGAGAAGAACGGGUGUGAGAGUGGAAAGUUCACACUGUGAUGGAUCUACCAGAAAGACG
rnacentral:rRNA from 1 species